UGGAGUGUAGCUCAGUGCUAGAGCGCUUGCCUAGCGUGUGCAACGACCUGGGUUUGAUCCCCUGCACCACAC
rnacentral:tRNA from 1 species